rnacentral:rRNA from 1 species
AUGGACAAUGUUGAAGUUACCGCUGCAAGUGGGAAGUCCGGAAAAAGUGGGGUCAUUGUAUGGACAUCUUCCAUGACCAACAAUAUGCUAGGUUUUUUGGCUGACCUUGUUGCUAAAGGGAAGAGAACUUCUAGUGGAUUCAGGGAGACACAUCUCAAACAAUGUACUGCUGUUUUGAAUGAGCAAUUCAAGCUAGCUAUCACCUCUGAUCAAGUUAGAAACCAUCUCAAGAAGUGGAGGAAGAUUUGGGUCAGGGUUGUCAAUUUGAAGAAUUUAAGUGGAGCUCUAUGGGAUGAAGAUACUUGCACAAUUAGGCUCAGCGAAGAACACUAUGCAGGUCAUUGCAUGGUGAGCUUCUUAUAUUAUGAACAAUAUCAUCCCAUUUUCUGCCUUCAUUAUUGUCGUGGAAUUGUCACGGCAGAUGUCCUUAGUAUCAGGACUUAG